rnacentral:tRNA from 1 species
GGGAGUGUCGCCUAAUGGAUGGGCAUCGUUCGCGUAACGAUUUGUAGGGGUUCAAGUCCCUUCACUCCUGCCA